ACAUGCAAGUCGAACGGUAACAGGGUGCUUGCACCGCUGACGAGUGGCGAACGGGUGAGUAAUGCGUCGNAAUGUACCGUGUAAUGGGGGAUAGCUCGGCGAAAGCCGGAUUAAUACCGCAUACGCCCUGAGGGGGAAAGUGGGGGACCGUAAGGCCUCACGUUAUACGAGCAGCCGACGUCUGAUUAGCUAGUUGGUGAGGUAAGAGCUCACCAAGGCGACGAUCAGUAGCGGGUCUGAGAGGAUGAUCCGCCACACUGGGACUGAGACACGGCCCAGACUCCUACGGGAGGCAGCAGUGGGGAAUUUUGGACAAUGGGCGCAAGCCUGAUCCAGCCAUGCCGCGUGUCUGAAGAAGGCCUUCGGGUUGUAAAGGACUUUUGUUCGGGAGGAAAUCCCGCUGGUUAAUACCUGGCGGGGAUGACAGUACCGGAAGAAUAAGCACCGGCUAACUACGUGCCAGCAGCCGCGGUAAUACGUAGGGUGCAAGCGUUAAUCGGAAUUACUGGGCGUAAAGCGUGCGCAGGCGGUUGUGCAAGUCUGAUGUGAAAGCCCCGGGCUUAACCUGGGAACGGCAUUGGAGACUGCACGACUAGAGUGCGUCAGAGGGGGGUAGAAUUCCACGUGUAGCAGUGAAAUGCGUAGAGAUGUGGAGGAAUACCGAUGGCGAAGGCAGCCCCCUGGGAUGACACUGACGCUCAUGCACGAAAGCGUGGGGAGCAAACAGGAUUAGAUACCCUGGUAGUCCACGCCCUAAACGAUGUCAACUAGCUGUUGGGGGUUUGGAAUCCUUGGUAGCGUAGCUAACGCGUGAAGUUGACCGCCUGGGGAGUACGGCCGCAAGGUUAAAACUCAAAGGAAUUGACGGGGACCCGCACAAGCGGUGGAUGAUGUGGAUUAAUUCGAUGCAACGCGAAAAACCUUACCUGCUCUUGACAUGUAACGAACUUGGUAGAGAUAUCUUGGUGCCCGAAAGGGAGCGUUAACACAGGUGCUGCAUGGAUGGCGUCAGUUCGUGGCGUGAGAUGUUGGGUUAAGUCCCGCAACGAGCGCAACCCUUGUCAUUAGUUGCCAUCAUUAAGUUGGGCACUCUAAUGAGACUGGCGGUGACAAACCGGAGGAAGGUGGGGAUGACGUUAAGUCCUGAUGGACCUUAUGAGCAGGGCUUCACACGUCAUACAAUGGUUGGUACAGAGGGUUGCCAAGCCGCGAGGUGGAGCUAAUCUCAGAAAACCGAUCGUAGUCCGGAUCGCACUCUGCAACUCGAGUGCGUGAAGUCGGAAUCGCUAGUAAUCGCAGAUCAGCAUGCUGCGGUGAAUACGUUCCCGGGUCUUGUACACACCGCCCGUCACACCAUGGGAGUGAGUUUCACCAGAAGUGGGUAGGCUAACCGUAAGGAGGCCGCUUACCACGGUGGGAUUCAUGACUGGGGUGAAGUCGUAACAAGGUA
rnacentral:rRNA from 1 species